UUCGUGUGUGUACGGGUCGGGGGGGGGGGAUUCAGCGUUUGUGAUCUGAACCUUUGGUACCUACAAGGAGGGUGUAUCACCGAAACGGUAGCUAAAACCUCACCAGAACCGUGCGGAAGUGAGCAGUCGCGGCCAAAGGCAUCUGCCCGAGCCUCUUCUCUCGGCCGGACCCGGCCCGAGCGGCCAACAGGAGCCCCCCGCCCGGAUUGCAGAAACACUAUAAUUCUAUCAAUUUUAUGAGACUUAUGUGCAAACCCAAUAUAUUCAUCUAUGUGGUCUACUGAUGGGAAGUAGAAUCAGAUAUUUCAGUUUCAACACUAUCAAGCAAAAGAAAAAUUAGUUGUGAUUCCAAGAAGAAAUGAACUCAAUUGGUAAGAAAAUAUUUGUUUUAUACAUUUCUGAAAUAACUAUAAAUGCCAUAC
rnacentral:lncRNA from 1 species